UACGUAGGGGUGCAACGUUGCCGGUAAUUGAUUGGGCGUAAAGAGCUCGUAGGCGGUUUGUCGCGUCUGCGUCGUGAAAACCCGAGGCUCAACCUCGGGCCUGCAGUGGGUACGGGCAGACUAGAGUGCGGUAGGGGAGAUUGGAAUUCCUGGUGUAGCGGUGGAAUGCGCAGAUAGUCAGAGGAACACCAAUGGCGAAGGCAGAUCUCUGGGCCGUAACUGAACGCUGGAGGAGCGAAAGCAUGGGGAGCGAACAGG
rnacentral:rRNA from 1 species